ACCGACGCUCAUGCUCGAAGGCGCGGGUAUCAAACAGGAUUAGAUACCCUGGUAGUCCGCGCAGUGAACGAUGGAUGCCCGCGGUGCGGCCUAUAAGGUUACGCCGCCAAGCGAAAGCGUUAAGCAUCCCACCUGGGGAGUACGCCGGCAACGGUGAAACUCAAAGGAAUUGACGGGGGCCCGCACAAGCGGAGGAACAUGUGGUUUAAUUCGAUGAUACGCGAGGAACCUUACCCGGGCUUGAAAUGCGACUGACGGGGGGCAGAGACGCCCUCCUCCUUCGGGCAGUCGUGUAGGUGCUGCAUGGUUGUCGUCAGCUCGUGCCGUGAGGUGUCGGCUCAAGUGCCAUAACGAGCGCAACCCCUGUCAGCAGUUGCGAGCGGGUUAAGCCGCGCACUCUGCUGAUACUGCCGCCGCAAGGCGUGAGGAAGGUGGGGAUGACGUCAAAUCAGCACGGCCCUUACGUCCGGGGCCACACACGUGUUACAAUGGGGGGCACAGCAAGCUGGAUCGCGGCGACGCGUUCCGAAUCCUGAAAUCCCCUCCCAGUUCGGACUGGAGUCUGCAACCCGACUCCACGAAGCUGGAUCGCUAGUAAUC
rnacentral:rRNA from 1 species